CAAACCCACUGUGUGCCUGGCGCCCUUGCGGUCAUCCCAGAUUUUUGCCCACAUCCCUCUGUUCCACCCAGAGGCCACCUGCAUGCAGGCAUGGUGGAUGGUUGCUGUGUGCAGUGAUGGCCUCCUGGGACCUCUUGCUGGCCACGGAGUUAACCAGGAGGGACCAUCAACCUCGGAAGCAGGCCCAGCUCCAUGAUGAUGCCUCUCUCCAGAGACCUCCUGACCUCCUGACCUGCACAGCCCGGGAGACCACAGCCCACAGCCGCUGCCCCAGGUGUCCACAAGCAUCUCAGCCCCUCCACAGCCCACGCAUCUCCUCUUUCAUUGGCUCAUGGGGAGUGAAGGACAAUGUCUGAAUUAAAUGCCGUGCUUUAAACUGAAAGGGAAACUUAGCAAAUA
rnacentral:lncRNA from 1 species